rnacentral:lncRNA from 1 species
UUACCACAAAGUUGACCCUUUUAAAAUAGAAAAAUUAAAAGUUAGAUGUAUAGAAAGGCCAAUAGGUUCGUAGGCAUAAUUAUUCCUAUUAUGUAAAAGAGCUGCUUUGAGGAAAACUGUGAGAGAAAAAAAAUUUUAAAUUGAUGAUGCUUAGUGAAUUGAAACUAGUGCCAUAUUUAUUCUCAUUAUUCAAAACUGCUUUAGGAAAGAUUUUAAAUGAAAAACUUUGUUAGGGGCUGCAAGAAUAUAAUUUUUUAGAACUGCUAGACAUGGAAAAGUUUGGGAACCUGUGUCUUAGAAGAUGAUAUUGUGAAGUUCAGUUUUGAACUAAUAAAGAAUACUGUAUAUGUACAUAUAAAAAAAUCUAAUAUCUA